UGGGGAAUAUUGGACAAUGGGGGAAACCCUGAUCCAGCGAUGCCGCGUGUGUGAAGAAGGCCUGCGGGUUGUAAAGCACUUUCAGUUGGGAAGAUAGUUUGUAGGGGAAUAUCCUGCAGAUGAGACGUUACUAGCAAAAGAAGCACCGGCUAACUCUGUGCCAGCAGCCGCGGUAAUACAGAGGGUGCGAGCGUUAAUCGGAAUUACUGGGCGUAAAGCGCACGUAGGUGGCGACGUAAGUCGGGUGUGAAAGCCCCGGGCUCAACCUGGGAACCGCAUUCGAGACUGUGUUGCUGGAGUACGGAAGAGGAGGGCGGAAUUCCCGGUGUAGCGGUGAAAUGCGUAGAUAUCGGGAGGAACAUCAGUGGCGAAGGCGGCCCUCUGGUCCAGUACUGACACUCAAGUGCGAAAGCGUGGGGAGCAAACAGGAUUAGAUACCCUCGUAGUCCCUGAGCGGGCUGGCAAGGCGCAU
rnacentral:rRNA from 1 species